GAUGAACGCUGGCGGCGUGCCUAAUACAUGCAAGUCGAGCGAAGCGGGGACGGGUGAGUAACACGUGGAUCACCUCCUAUAAGACUGGGAUAACUUCGGGAAACCGGAGCUAAACCGGAUACUUAUCAAUGGAUCCGCGCUGCAUUAGCGAGUUGGUAAGGUAACGGCUUACCAAGGCAACGAUGCAUAGCCGACCUUUGAGGGGGAUAGGCCCCACCGAAACGUGGACACGGGCCAGAGUCUUAUGGGAGGCAGCAGUACGGAAUCUGCCGAAAUGGGCGAAAGCCUUACGGAGCAACGCCGCGGUAGUGAUGCAGGUCUUCGGAUCGUCAAACGCUGUUAUUAGGGAAGCGGUACCUAAUCAGAAAGCCACUGCUAACCACGUGCCAGCAGCCGCGGUAAUUC
rnacentral:rRNA from 1 species